rnacentral:rRNA from 1 species
GGUUUGGUCCUAGCCUUGUAGUCAGUUAUUACUUAAUAUACACAUGCAAGUAUCCGCCCCCCUGUGAAAACGCCCUUUAAUCCCCUCUAGGGACAAGGAGCUGGUAUCAGGCACGAAAAUCUGCCCAAGACACCUAGCUAUGCCACACCCACAAGGGAAUUCAGCAGUGAUUAACAUUGAGCAUUAGCGCAAGCUUGACUCAGUUAAAGUAAGAUAGAGCCGGCUAAUCUGGUGCCAGCCGCCGCGGUUACACCAUGUGGCUCAAAUUGACCCCUUCCGGCGUAAAGCGUGAUUAAAGUUAUUUAUUAAUAGAGUUAAACUGAAACUAAGCUGUGACACGCCUGUUUAUCAAGAAACCCAAAAACGAAAGUUACUCUAACUUAAUCAACUUGACUUCACGACAGCUGG